rnacentral:RNase_P_RNA from 1 species
CGAGCCGGGCGGGCGGCCGCGUGGAGUACCCCCAGGGGGCUCCCCGAGGAACGUCCGGGCUCCACAGGGCAGGGUGGUGGCUAACGGCCACCCGGGGUGACCCGCGGGACAGUGCCACAGAAAACAGACCGCCCGGCGCUCAGGUCCUGGGUAAGGGUGAAACGGCGGUGUAAGAGACCACCAGUGCCCAGGGUGACCUGGGCAGCUAGGUAAACCCCACCCGGAGCAAGGUCAA